rnacentral:rRNA from 1 species
GACGAACGCUGGCGGCGUGCUUAACACAUGCAAGUCGAACGGUAAGGCCCUUCGCGGUACACGAGUGGCGAACGGGUGAGUAACACGUGGGUGAUCUGCCCUGCACUUCGGGAUAAGCAUGGGAAACUGGGUCUAAUACCGGAUAGGACCCUGGGAUGCAUGUCCUGGGGUGGAAAGCUUUUGCGGUGUGGGAUGGGCCCGCGGCCUAUCAGCUUGUCGGUGGGGUGAUGGCCUACCAAGGCGACGACGGGUAGCCGGCCUGAGAGGGUGGCCGGCCACACUGGGACUGAGAUACGGCCCAGACUCCUACGGGAGGCAGCAGUGGGGAAUAUUGCACAAUGGGCGCAAGCCUGAUGCAACGACGCCGCGUGAGGGAUGACGGCCUUCGGGUUGUAAACCUCUUUCAGCACCGACGAAGCGCAAGUGACGGUAGGUGCAGAAGAAGGACCGGCCAACUACGUGCCAGCCGCCGCAGUAA